GUGCUUGCUUCAGUAGUACAUAUACUAAAAUUGGAACAAUACAGAGAAGAUUAGCAUGGCCUCUAUGCAAAGAUAAAAUGCAAAUGCAUGAAGUGUUUCAUAUUUUU